UUAGUCUGGUGGAGGCCUUGGUAGAUGUGGUCCAUUAGUCCUUUGGACUAAUCUUUCCCUUGUGUCUUUAGUUAUCUUCAUUCUUCCUUGUUCCCAAAGGGGUGAGACCAGUGGAGUAUCCUAGAUGGCCGCUCAUAGGCUUUUAAGACCGUGGAUGCUAUUCACCAAAGUAGAGUGUAGAACAUUUUCUUUAUAAACUCUGUUAUGCCAGUUGAGCUAGAUGUUCCCUGAGACCAUGGUCCCCACAGCCCUCAGUCCAGCAAUUUGGUCCCUCAGGGAGUUUGGGUGUGUCUAUGGAGCUACCAUGGCCCUGUUUUGUACAGGCUGUGCUGGCUUCCGUAAUAUUGUGUACUGUCUUACCCUUCACCAAAGUUACUACUUAUCUAUUGUCUAUUAAGUGUUUUUCCAUCCCCACCCCUCCCCACCCUGGUAACCAUCAAAGAUUGUUUGUUUUUGUUUGUAAACCUUUUCAUGAGUUUUUACAGUAGUGGUCUCAUACAAUAUUUCUCCUUUUGUGAUUGACUUAUUUCACUCAGCAUAAUGUUCUCCAGAUGCAUCUAUGUUAUGUGAUGCUUUGCAGAUUCAUCGUUGUUCUUUAUUGUUGUGUAAUAUCCCAUUGUGUGUAUGUACCAGUUUGUUUAUCCAUUCAUCUGCUGAUGGGCAUCUAGGUUGUUUCCAUCUUUUUGCUAUUGUGAACAAUGCUGCAAUGAACAUGGGUGUGCAUAUGUCUAUUUGUGUGAUGACUCUUACUUCUCUAGGAUAUAUUCCUAGAAGUGGGAUUGCUGGAUCAUAUGGUAUUUCUAUUUCUAGCUUUCUAAGGAAGCACCAUAUCAUUUUCCGAAAUGGCUGUAUCAUUUUGCAUUCCCAUCAGCAGUGCAUAAGAGUUCUGAUCCCCCUGCAGCCUCUCCAACCUUUGUUAUUUUCUGUUUUAUUGAUUUGUUCCAGUAAUGCCAGGGCGAGAUGGUUAUCUCAUUGUGGUUUUGAUUUGCAUUUCUCUGAUGGCGAGAAAUCAUGAGCAUUUCCUCAUGUGUCUGUUGGCCACUUGAAUGUCUUCUUCGGUGAAGUGUCUGUUCAUAUCCUUUGCCCAUUUUUUAAUUGGAUUAUUUGUCUUGUUGUUGUAGAGGUGUUGGAUUUUCUUGUAGAUUUUAGAGAUUAGACCUUUGUCUGAUUUAUAAGAGCCAAAAUUUUUUUCCCAGUCUGUAGGUUCUCUUUUUACUCUUUCGGUGAAGUCUUUUGAUGAGCAGAAGUGUUUGAUUUUUAGAAGAUCCUAGUUAUCUAGCUUAUCCUCGAGUAUUGCGCUCUUUUAACGACUAUAUGGGGUCAAAUUGACAACAGCAACUUGGAAGAUAAGACAGGAACCUUAGGGGCCAGUGAGCUUAUGUUAAUGAGGGAGGAACAACUCAGAAAAGGGGGGUGAGAAUGGUUGCACGACUUGAAGAACGUAAUCGGUGUCACUGAAACAUACAUGUAUAAACUGUUGAACUGGUGUAUGUUUUGCUGUAUAUAUUCUCAAAAACAGCAGCAAAAUAAAUAAAAUUAUACAGUGGGUAUAUAUAUAUAUAUGUAUCUGUAUGGAAACCGUGGUGGACUAGUGGUUAAGGACUACAGCUGCUAACCAAGAGGUCAGCAGUUCAAAUCCUCCAGGCACUCCUUGGAAACUCUAUGGGGCAGUUCUACUCUAUCCUGUAGGGUCACUAUGAGUCGGAGUCAACUCAACAGCAACAGGUUUAUAUAGAUAUAUAUACAUGUAUAUAUAAUAUUUAUAUAUGUAUAUAAAAUAAAUUGCCCUUUAACUUGUGAGGUCUGACCUAGCUCCAGGCAGUUAGGGUCAGAGGAGAACUGCAUUUGCAGUUGUUCUCAGAGAGGACAUUUAGAACUGAUGGCAGAAGACACACAGACAGAUGCCAUACAGACUCAUGGACUGAAUUGUGUCCACCCAAAAUAUGUGUCAACUUGGCUAGGCCAUGAUUCCCAGUAUUGUGUGGUUGUCCUACAUUUUGUGAUCUGAUGAGAUUUUGCUAAGUGUUGUAAAUCCUACCUCUAUGAUGUUAAUGAGGUGGGAUUAGUGGCAGUUUUUUAUGUUAAUGAGGCAGGACUCAAUCUAUAAGAUUAGAUUGUGUCUUAAGUUAAUCUCUUUUGAGACAUAAAACAGAGAAGGGAGCAGAGAGGAGAGGGAUCUCAUUACCACGAAACAAGAAGAGCCAGGAGUGGACCCGGGGUUCCUGUGCUGAGAAGUUCCUAGACCAGGAUAAGAUUGAUGACAAGGACCUUCCCCUAGAGCUGACAGAGAGAUAAAGCCUUCCCCUGGAGUUGGCACCCUGAAUUCGAACUUCUAGCCUCCCGAACUGUGAGAGAAUAAAUUUCUGUUUCUUAAAGCCAUCCGCUUAUGGUACUUCUGUUAUAGCACCACUAGAUAACUAAGACCCAGGCCCUUCACUAUAUCCUGGUGAUCUCCUUUGAAAUCAUCAACUCGGACAUACCCUCUUUCAAGAGUCACUGUUGUUGUGUGCCAUAAAGUUGAUUGCAACUCAUAAUGACCAUAUAUGACAGAGUAGGUUUCCAAGGCUGUAAACUUUAUGGGAGCAGAUAGUCAGGUCUUUUCUCCUGUGGAGCUGCUGGUGGGUUUGAACCAGCUACCUUUUGCUUAGUGGUUACCUACUGUGCCACCAGGGCCCCUUCAAGAAUCACUGUAACAACCGAAUCCCACACUCCAGCAGAGCAGCACCGACCCCUCACUUGUUUCCAGUGCUACAUCUCUACUAAUGUUCUGAUCAUGUCAGACUGUAAACCAUACUAAGCUUAAUGAAUGACAAAAAUCCCUAAUUUUUAGUUUUUUUUUUUAAACAUGUUCUGUUACCUGCCACAGAAACUCUGGUGGUUAAGAGUGGUUAAGAGUUCGACUGCUACCCAAAAAGUCUGCUGUUUGAAUCUACCAGGCACUUCUUGGAAACCCUAUAGGGCAGUUCUACUGUGUCCCAUAGGGUUGCUAUGAGUAGGAAUUGACUUGAUGGCAAUGGGUUUGUUUUUUUUUUUUGGUUUGGUUUAGUUACCUGCCGCACUACCUAUACUUGAGCAGAUCAAGGAUCCAAGACUUGACAGUUAUCUCUGUUAAAUUUUAUCUCAUUCAGUCCUUUUUGAGCUUGAUUCUGACAGGCAGUGUAUUUAUUCACUCUCCUUUCCAGCUCCAAGCCAUCUGAAAUUUGAUAAGUGAGCCAUUUCUAAGGUCAUCUAAGUCUGUAUCUUGGCCCCACUCCAGCUACUCCAUUUUCUUUUUCAGUCCAGCUGUCUUCAACUCCUGACAUCUGCUCUAGCGAGGUCAACUGCCUGCUCCACUGAACAAUCUAUUAGCUAGGGACUUUGCUAAACACUGACAUAAAUAAUACCAUUCAAAACUAAACUCUAGGGUGUGUGAACUAUAAUUAUCCAUUUAAUAAAUGGGGAAACUAGGGCUCAAAGAGGUUAUGAGACUUGCCAGACAUCAUGGCUAAUUGACAAGCUGAUUCUGUCUGAAUUCAAUGCUCCUUUGCCAUUUGCUGCUUAAAUCCCCUCUAUAACAUGCUCAUCAGCCUCUGUUUAAGGACUUCCAAGGAUGGAGAACUUACCACCUUCAAGAUGAAUCAUUCUGUCAUUGGUGAUUAGUCCUAAUUUUACUUUACGACCCCCCGCCCCAUGAAUCACGAUUUAAUUGCUAUCUCAUUAUUUACAGAUUUAUAUUAGACAUUUUUCAUCAGUAAUCAUGAUUGCCUAUUUACUGAACCCCCUGGCUGGGAAGCACUACUUGGAACAAGCUAAAAUAUCAACCUUCACAGCUUAUCCCACCUUCCUUUCAGAGAACAGCAAAGAAGAGCCGAACCAUGUUCUCAGGUCUCGCUAUUUCCCAACUUGAAGCUGCUCUUCCAGUUAGGGGGCUGGCUACCUCCAAGGAGUUUGGGAGAAUCACUCUUAGCCAUCUAAAAAACCCAGGCCAAUGUAAGGUGUUAUCACUGGGGGAGAGCAGGUAAAGGGUACGUGAGAUCUCUUUGUACCAUUUGUGCUGCUUCCUUUGAAUCUAUGAUUUCAAAAUAAAAAGAUAAAAUGGAAAAUGCAUUCUAGAUUAAGAACCCUAGGCUCUAGCAUUCAAAUUUUUACAAAGUUAUUUCAACUUUGCACUCUGCACGUGGGUCCCCUUGCCCUCUCCCUGCUAUGCCAUUUAAAAUCUUCCCCUUCUGGGGCCUGCGGAAUGCUGAGUCAUUCAGCAACAUUCUCUGACCACCACUCAGUAGAGAGGUCCCUACCCUCAGGGAGCUGGCCUUACAGGCAGGGCAGAUAAUAAAACAAACCAAGCCCUUUGCAGUGGGGCCAAUUCCGGCUCCUGGUGACCCAGUGUGUGCAGAACAGAACAGGGUUUUCAAGGCUAUGACCUUUUGGAAGCAGAUCGCUAGGCCUGUCUUCUGAGGCACCUCUGGGUGGGUUUGAACCAUCAAUCUUUCAGCUAGUGCCUAACCAUUUAUGCCACCCAGAGACAGAAAAGAAACAAAUACAAUUCUAUUAGUGCUAGGAAGGAAAUAAACUGGGAUCCAGGGUACAGAAGAAAAAAAAAAAAAGUCCCCUAAUUUAGGCAGGAUAACCAGGAAAGUUCUCGCUGAGACCAGAAACCUGAGGCAGCAGUUACAUGAAGGGCUGGGGGAAGGGCACUAGAAAGAACAGCAGAGGCAAAGGCCCUGAGCCCCUCAUCAUACAACACUGCUGACUCUCCGAGAAACUAAAACCAGUGGACACUGACUCAUGGCGACCCCAGUGUGUCAGAGUAGAACUGUGCCCCGUAGGGUUUUCAAUGGUGGAUUUUCUUCCAAGGCACCUCUGGGUGGACUCGAAACUCCAACCUUUCAGUUAGCAGCCCCGUGUGUUAACCAUCUGUGCCACCCAGAGACUCCUAUGAGAAACCAGAGAUUGGAUAAACUAAACACCCACAAGUUUCACUGAAUUUAAAGCCUUAUCUUCUUCCCCUCUACCUGAAGUCUUUCAGGAACAAAGGGUUAGGACAGUUUGUGCUCUCCGCUCUCACGGCUUCCACCCCAUUCUCUGGUGAACCCUGAACUGGCCCUACAGGUGUUCAGAGGAGGCAGCAGCACACCUGGUAGGAUAAGAGGUGAACUGCAACCAACCUGCUUGGGGCAGGUCACUGGUCAGAGGCAGGUCCCUCUGGUUUGAGGCUCACGUGAGAGCAGCCAUGGGAACUCCAGCAAGGACUCAGAGGCUUCUCAGCUGUCCCCAGGGCUCUGAGAACAGGAGGCUGAGAACGGCUACAGCUCUUCCUAGAGAGAGCUGCCUGAGAGGGGAGGCUAAAGGGCAAACAGCCACAGGGCAGUGCGAGGAACCCACAGCUCAGGCAGAGGUCUAGAGGGAAAUGGCGCUGAGCAAGACGGGCAGGUGCGGCAGGUAGGGCACUCCCACCAAUGAGCUAGCCAGCUAUUAAAUACCUCAAACUACCAUGUGUCAGAGCAGAACUGUGCUCCCUAAGGUUUUCAAUAGCUGAGUUUUCAGACUGUCUUCCUAGUCACCUCUGGGUAGGACUCAAACCUCCAACCUUUCAGCUGGCGGCCAAGCGAGUUAACUGUUUGCACCACCCCGGGACUCCAUUAAAUACCUCAAGUGCCAACCAAACAUGAAUGCAGCAAAGUAAAUUGAAAUUCUCUCUAAGCCUUGUAUGGCUUCUAAGUAUCUCAGAUACCACAACCUUUUCCCCUCUCUGUGCUCGGGUUAGAAAUAAAGUGGACACUCACCUGCAUAAACGUGUGGCAUUCCGUUACAAAAUUCCCUUUUGUAAUCUGCUUAAACUUAUCACAAAUGUCUGCAAAACUGGUGGCUUCCAAAAUAAAAGCCUGGUGUUGUUUAAUUAAGGUUAAGGCUACCCGGAAGAUAACUUUUGAGCCUUCGUUGAAUAAACAAUCCCAAAUUCGAAGCACGGUCUGUAGAAAAAGAGAUGUUAAAUAGAAAAAUCAUGCCGUCACUUAGAGUGCCAUCUGAGACUAGUCCUGCAGUUUACGUCCCGCAAGGCUCCAGACGCACCUGCUCUUACCUCUACAGGCAGGACGUCGAUGAACAAGCAGAUAAACCAGCGGGACACCACCAAGGUCCACAAGACGCCAUGCCCCUCCAUCAGCUCGGCAACCGCUGGGGUCUUCAUUCUCACCAGCUCACCAAGCACUUCCUGGUCCGUUUUCAGACCCAGCAUUGCUGGGCUGUAGUAGUCUUUUACAGAGAAAAGAAAGACAAGAAAUGUAAAGUACACACUCAAAAAGAAAACCAAAACUUUCCAGCUGACAGCAUCAUCCCUUGUUUCCCUUUAAGCCGGCUCAAACAAGGCUAACCAUGUUAUUUCUUUUCAAAAUUAAAAGGGGAAGAAUAGAGGCAAGAUCCCACGCCCUGAAGCAGCAGUAAUUCUCUGGAGUGAGAAGUUAGGCCUCCCGAGAUGUCCACCAGGGGGCACACUGGCACUUUGUGUCUGGACGCCUGGCCUGGCUAAAGGGCCCUGCUGGGCACCAGUUAAAAUCUGCAGGUGGCAGCUGCUUUUGCAUUUCAGCUGUAGGGUUAGUCCCGGCAGUAAUGAACAAAGCAACCCCAGUCUCAGUUGCUUACUUUAGCGACUGUAAAAGUGACCUCCCUGGAGCAACGGCGGUUACAUCAGUUACAGGGAGAGCUGAGGAGGGGAGGCACCACAGGGUUUAAGAGUCCUGAGGCUGGACAAAGCAGGACCGGGUGUGGUAACCUUCAGGGAACAGCUCUGUCUGUCCACCUGCAGCGGUGUUCACUUGAGCAAGAAAUGCAAGCUGGGUUUCUACGGGCAAGAAGCUACUAGAGGUCAGGACAGGAGAGCCCAGUUACCUGCUGCCCACCUGAUGCCAGAUAACUGACCCUUUCAAAGUGGAGGUGGUGGUAUCCCCACAUUAUAAAGCAUGAGGGUAUAACCUCAAAGAGAUGAAGAAGCUUGCCGGGAAGAGGUGGUGGCCUUGGGCAGGUCUACUUGGCCCCGCUUGGGCACUUCACCCCACACCGCAGUCCUGCCUCCUGCAGAGCAAACACACAGGCCAGGGGGAAAACCAGAGAGACCCAACACGUGGACAUAAAAUAUGGAGCCCUUCAAUCAUUAGUGCUGUUAAAAACCAAUUUUUUAAAAACUUGGCCUAAACGCAGAUUUCUAAUCACGUGGUUGGUGUUUAAAAUGUCUGCAUGGAAAAAGGAUGGAUUUUGGGGGCUGCCGAAGCAUCUCUCCAACAGCUGGGAGGAUUCUGCAUCAGCAGGUGUGCUGACCCCUCCUGAGUUUCACGGGGUCAUGUGUUCUGAUUCUCUCACAAAUGCAGGAUUCCCAGUAAGCUAGUCACCCAGUCUUCCCUUCUUAGCACUCUGUCCCACAGGACGGCUCCUUCCCUUAGCAUCAAUUAGGCACCUUGGCCUUUUCCCCGCUUCCAUCCUCCUAGUCAGACUUUCUUCGGGGUUUUCCCUUCCUUUUUUACUUCUAUUUUUCUGAUUUUUUGGUUGUGAAGAUGCAAUAAAUGCGAGCAUUAUGGAUGAAUGUGAAGUAAGAACUGAAGGUCAUUCACCCCAUGCCAGCGUCCAGAGAUAACUGAUUACUGCCAGACAGUUCGGUACAUCUUCUAUACUUUUUAUUUUUAUAUACACACACACACACAUUUAUUUACUUAUUUUACCAACAGGGUCAAAUUAUACAUUGUUCUGAAAGUUUUUUUUUUUUUUUCUUUUCACUUAACAAAUUUCCCUGGACUAUUCUUCAUAGCACCUCACGCAGAUUUACUGCACUCUUUUUAAAGGGGGCAAGGCACUCUUCUGUAUGGAUGGGCCACAGUUUACUUAACUGGUUCCUCACUGAUGCACAUUUAUGCUAUUGCCAAUUUUUUGUUAUAAGUGAUGCCACAAUAAAGAAAUCUCUGUGCACAAGUGUGUAGGGUAAAUUUCUGCAAGUGGAGUUGCUAGGUUAAAGGGCUUUCACUUCUGCAGCCUGAGGCAAUCCUGCAGGUUUUCUCCAACUUUGCGCAACAUUCACAAAGUGAUUGAUGGGCAAGGAUACUUCAUUAUCUUUCCCAGAAAUUUUAGAAGAAUGUGUCAAACUCCCCCCAAAAUUCAUUGCCAUCAAGUCAUUCCAACUCAUAGCAACCCUACAGGGCAAAGUAGAACUGCCCCAUAGGGCUUCCAAGGAGCAGUUGGUGGAUUUGAACUGCCAACCUUCUGGUUAGCAGCCAUAGCUCUUAACCACUGUGCCGCCAGGGCUCCCAAACUUCCCCAGCACUACAAAAUACAGAAAGGCAAAAGGCAAUGUUAUAUGUCUAAAUUUAUCCCCAAUGAGGACUGAUGGCUUAAACUGGAAAAAAUAUUUUUACUAUUGUUAGUGCUGCCUGGGGAGUCCAUGACGAAACCACGCCUUUAAGACAGAUAACAUCCUCUGGGCUUCUCCAGCUGCCCCAUUCUCAAAGGGCCUGGAUGCCAGCAGCCAGAGGUCCUCUCACAGCUCUGUUAGCACACACUCUGCUCCAAGUCCACCCACCUCCAACAGAUUUCCUUUUCUAUCUUUCUUUUGAAUGGACAUACAUGUUUUACCAAGGAACUUUUGGGUUUCCUACACAACCUUUUAGCUUGUUAAUGUGAUGUACUAAUAAAUUUUACUAUCUUAAUUUAUGCUAUAAAAAUUUCAUUAAGUGAGGAGCCCUGGUGACGUAGCAGUUAAGCACUUAACUGCUAAAUCAAAGGUCGGUGGUUGGAACCCCCGAGUGGUUCCUUGGGAAAAGAUCUGGUGAUUUGCUCCCAUAAAGAUUACAGCCUAGAAAACCUUAUGGGGCAGUUCUACUCUGUCACAGAGGGUUGCUAUGAGUCGGCAUCAACUCGAUGGCACCCAACAACGAUAACAACAACACAGUCUUAGCUCUCUACACUUUCCCAUGAACCUCCCCACCAAUCUUGUUUGAAAACCAGGUGAAAAAUAAAAAUUAAAAUGGAGGUUUACAACAAAAAUUCAGUAAGUAACCUAUUUAAUAAAAUAGGAAAAUUAAAGCCAUUGUGCCAAACCUGGUCUCUUACUCUGUUGUCCACAUGUGUUCUUGGUUGUUCAUCAUGGGGGGGGAAUGUGGUUCAACGGAAUCAUAAAUAAUGACACCCAGUCACAUUACUAACUUUCAAAGGGUAAACAUACAACAAGGGAUGCUUAAUACUAACGUGUUCUGAAGAUAACCGAACAGACAUCAAUGCAGUUAUAAAACAUCAGGGAUUAAAAAGUCUUCAUGUUCUUAUUUUGCAUCUAUCUCUUGAAAUCUUUGAAUGCUUUGCUCUUUUUUUCCUUUGUGACCCAGCAACAUUCUAUUCCAGUUGGCAAGAAAAGAGCAAAGAUUCUUUAAACUGUACUUAUUCCUUUUUAUCUAUUAGAGUGUCAUUAGUGCUAACCUGAAUUCUACAAGUGACAUCUCUAACACAAACCAGACUUGAGCCCCAGGGAGCAGUCAGGUGAUUUGCAGAGAACAAGGGAUAAGGACUAAGCACAGCAUGACCUUGUUCUCAAUUACAGAGAGGCUUUACAACGGCUUCCAAAAAUAAAGGUGUUAAACUCAUGCCCUAAACUGCUACAUACCUGAGCAGGGUCACUAGGUAGAAACUGAACCCACCACACCUUGAAUGCAUUUUCCUUGGGUAUUGAAGGCAAAGCAAACUACUACUUAUUCUAGGCCUGGGCUGGCUGCGGCAUUUUCCUAACUAUUCUUUCUAAAGGAGAAGAGCCUUACAUUAGAGGUUUAAAUUGAGUUGUGCACAAGAUCAGAGAAACGCCUUAACACCCACAACUGGGGCCAACACCGAUGUUCCCUGGAAAUGGCACCCAUGUUGCCUCUGCCUUCCGGCUGCCCCCCCAUGUCAUUUUUCUUGGGAACAUUCAUGCUUUUGCAAACAAUCUAAUAAACUGCUUACAGAGGUUCAGAUACAGCACUGUCUGUGCCCCUAAAACAAGGUAGAGAACCUAGCCCUAGUAUCCCCCUCACAACUGUCCGGGGUCAGAAUACGCUGGUUUGCAUUCACAGACAGAAGAAACGCUGGAAGAAGCCACACCAAAAUGGUAACCAUAGCAGCCUAGGAGUGGCUUUGAUUUUCUCCUUUAUUCUUGAUUUUAUGUUUUCCUAAAUUUCCAGAAUGAACGUGUAUGAGUUACGUUAUCACAUAAGCACAUGUUCUUUAAGGGCAAAUAAAACCAAACCAGUGGCCGUUGAGUUGAUUUUGACUCGUGACGGCCCUAUGAGUCUCAGGGUAGAACUGUGCUCCAUAGGGUAUUCAACAGCUGAUUUUUUUUGAGAGAGUAAAUAAAAAUUAAAAAUAAGGAAGAGGCUGCCUCCCCUCUCCUUUCUUUCAGCAUUCACUUUAAAAGAAAAUGUGUAAGGUGUCUUUGAAAAGACACCAACUUACUGGGCUGAAGGCUGGGGGCCACUGUGAAAAUCAACCUGGCGCUUCCUUAAAAAGCUAGACGUAGAAGUUCCAUACGAUCCUCCCCUGGAAAUACCGAUUCAGCACUCUGGGACAGACCUGGUCUGGCUUCUAGGAGAAAUGUCCAACCCAAGGAAGUAACGCUACUGGCACUGGACCCAAGUCGGAAAAAACAAGUUCUAUACAGUCCAGCCAUGAGACACGGUGAUCUGUGAACUUCAAUUCCUUCAGCUAUGAAAGGGGGAGAAAAUCACUUUUUCUGGGAGCUUACAGGAUUAUUGCAGGCUUCCACAAAGUAACAACCCAAACCAGCUGCUGCUGAGUUGAUUCCAACUUGUGG